AUGGUGGCCAUGUCAACGCUUGCCGCUGGAUCGUUGCCGGGAACUGUGGUCCCCAAUGGUCUUCUAACAAGGAGGUUUCAAGGCUCACAAUUUCAGACAACUCAAGUUAACCGCAUCUCAUUUGAGCGGGAAGUUUCUACUAAAGCAACACUGAGGAGUGUAAAAUGCAGUGCUCAAACCCAAAGUGUUCAGCGCAAAUCUUCAACCGCGACUGUCAAACGAUCUGACCCCAAAGGAAAGGUUCAAGGACCUAAGUUGGACGAUGGAAGCGGUGGGUUCCCUCCGUUCCGUUUCGGCAAAGGAGGCGGCGGAGGUGGAGGCGGUGGGGGUGGUAGCAGCUACUUUGGCGGGUUCCUCCUCUUCACUAUCGUGCUGCUCCUGGAUUACCUCAAGGAGUUUGAGAAGUACCUGCUCGCUCGAAAGCAUCGUGCCGGAGACGACGAUGACGCGGGCUAUGACACGAGCGGUGGGAUGCUAGGACAAUCACCAUGA
rnacentral:rRNA from 1 species